UAACGUUAGCAUAGGCAACCACACGAAGUAGCCUCCGCAAAGCCAGACAGCAAAAACAAAUAAACAAGACGAGGCGACGAGGGAUAACAAACAGAAGGAAGAGACUGGAGAAACACAUUUGGAGACUGUGUUUGUGACAGAAACUGACAAUAAACAACAACAAGCCUUGGGAAGUGGAUAACCGGAGCAGAGAGGCAACUGAAGCAAGAGGAGCAACAUGUGUGGUGACAGAAGAUGAAAGCUUGAGUCCUGAGUCCAGUUUGAUUCCAGUGUCCUGUUCCUUGGCUGAGGAUCAAUCCCUGAUGGAGUCUUGCAGGGACACCAGAGAGAACAAUAGACGGAAUGAGUGAGAGAGAUAAAGAGACAUGGAGGCGCUCUCAUCAGGUUUCUGGAUCCUUCAUUCACCAUUGGUGCAUACGAGAAAACCGACCUUCAAGAAAUCGAGUAUCACAAGGAACGAUGGUGGAGUGUUUGAAGCAUGUGGCGACUACAGACUGCAGCAGGGACCUGUUGAAGAUGUCUGUGAACAUCUCUACCAGCUGAACUGAACACGGCCAGGGAUGCCAUCAAGUCCAGGUUACUGAUGCCCCAAAUCUGACUGAUGAUGAGGAAAAGAAAAGCUAGAGAAGGAGGAGGAAGAGGAGUAGAAUGCACAACAAAGGUCACUGGAGGAUUUUUUUUCUAUAAGGUAAGCAUGUCAUCCGUGCAUCACCCUUUGAUAAUACAUUUUGAAAUGUCAGCAAUGUACCGCGUUCAAGGCCAUUCAGCAACGAUAAUGUUGCAUUAGUUAUGCACUUUAUUUCAUUAAAUGUUACGACGGUUGUGAUAACCGUCAAUUUACUUUAUCGAGCACAUGUGACAGUUUCACCGUACCUCUGCCAGAAACAUAAGAGGCAGACGAAGAGAAGUUAUGAACUUAUUUACUUUUUCGUUUGUAGGUGGAGAGUGUAUCUCAAAACCUCAGCAAUUA